AUUCAAAAUACUCAAGUCUUCUAAUUUGGCUAUAAAUUAAUAAAUAAAUGAUAUUAAUAAUUUAAUUUCAUAUGGAUAUACUAUAAUUUCUUUUUGCAUUUUAAUAAAAAAAAUAAAAUUAUUGGUGCCCUAGGAUAAAUAAUUUAAUUUUGUAUUAUGACUAAAAGUUACGAGUUUAAACUGUAAUAAUUUCUUUUACUGGGAAAGAUUUCUGAUGUUAAAUAGAAAAAAUUAUUUUCAAUAGUUUGUAACUUUGCUUUGCAUUACUAUUAAUUUAAUGAGAGCAUAUGGUAAAAACAAAUAAUUGGUAUAGCUGACAAUUAAUUUUGAACUAUUGUUAUAUUUAAUUGUGGUAGUUAUUUUUCUGGUCAUAAUUGGAAUUAAAAAAAAUCAUAUCAAUAAAUUAUAUAAUAAAAAAAAUUACUGGUGACCAGACAAAUAAUUUAAAUCAUAUUAUUACACAAAGUUUAAAGUUUAAGUUAUGAAAAAAAAUUUUUUUUUUUGAUACACAAUGCACAAUAAUGUCGGACAUGUGAUUAUUAGCAGGGCAUUGCCAUAGCCUUAUCUCUUCAACAAUGUUAACUUCCCUUAUCUUUUUUUGUUUUUUGUUUUUUUUUUUUCCGAAUGACCCUUAUCUUAUUAAUUUGAUUUAUAAUAAUUUAUAAUUGCAAUUUCUUUUAUUCACAGUUAUAUAUAUAGAUUUUGUAGUUAUUAGUAAACCCUAAACUUAAACUCCAAAUACUGUGUGCGGGCAAUUUUAUUGGAUUGGUUCCAUGUCUUAUCAGGCUUGUGGCCUUGCCGACAACUUAACUUGUAUACAAAAGUACUCAUAUUCUUAUGAGGUGCAUCAACUUUUUAUGUUAAAGGUGGAUAACUGUACCAAGAAUCGAUUAAUUAUUAAUCUGUCCCUUUUUUUUUUUAUAAAUUUUCUUUUCGGUGUAUUUUUUAUAUAGAGAAACUCUAAACAGUAAUUUUGAAAUACAAGUCAAGUUAAAAAGAUUAGAAAGCUUUUGAAUUAUAUAUAUUUUUUUAAGAAUGAAGCUUAACUAUUAACGAAAGUAGCAGACAUAAAUAUUUUCAGCAUUUAAUACACGCAUGUUGCAAAUGACAAGUUAUCAAUUUAUUUUUUUUAUUCUGUUUUACAGUAACAGCAAUCGUUUUUAUAAACUUAGGUCACAUAAACACAAAAGUUAACCCUUAUUUAUAUGUCUUUGAGCAGAGAAGAAGAAAAUCGUACACUAAAUGAGCUAGUUACUCUUCCAAGAAGAGCUGGAAGAGUGUCUUUAAUUGCAGAUAAUAAUGUUGAUAUUCUGAAAAAAUUGGAUCCAAUUACUACUCUUUUGGCCACAUUGGUGGAAAAGAUAGAUAAAAAUAUUUAUCAAACUCAUAAAAAUAGUGCACAAAUUGAAUAUUUUAGUUAAUAAUAAAAAUUUAAAAUAUAAAAUCUAAGACAAAACAAUUAAAAAUGUUAUUAAAUUUUUAAAUUCAAAGUUAAAUUAACUAUUGAUUUAUUAUGCAUACAGUCAAUUGAAUAAAAAUAUAAUAUCUAAGUAUUAUAAUAAAUAAAUAAUACUAAAUGAUAUUAAAUUUAUACGGAUAGAGAAAAUAAUAAAAUAUAAAAAUAAUACUAAAUAGAGAAGAGAUAAAAAAAAAGCGUACAUAGUAUUUUAAUAGAGAUAAUAAAACUAAUGUUUAUAUAUUUUAGAUAAAUAAAUGACAUUAGCUUUAUAUGAAUAGAGAAAAUAAUAAUAAUAAUUUAUAUAACUUUAUGAGGAUAAGGCACCAUAAUUUAGAUAGGGCUUUGGAAAGGAUUCCAUUGGCUAGGGUUCAAUAAUUGUUUUUCUCGUGGGUCCAAUGCGUAAAUUAUUUAUAAAAAUUUUUACUUAAAUUUAUUAAACACUUUAAUUUAUAAAAAUUAUAUUAAUUAAAUACUUUAAUUUGUAAAAAUUAUUCUAUUAAAAACUCUAAUAUAUAAAAUUUGAUUGAUUAAAUUCUUAUUAAAUAAUUAAAAGAUAUAAAAAUUAUUGUUGCAAAAAUUAUAUUAACCACAUCAAGUAAAUAUUUACUUGUAAAUACAAAAAACACACACACAAGAGAAAAAAAAAAAAAAACUAUCACUACUAAUAUUAAGAGGGGUAGAAUGUUAUUAAAAAAUUAAAACAUUUAUAAGAAGGGUCACUGUUUCUUUUGAGAAAAGAUGGCGGCCGAAGAAGUUGGUGGUGAUAGUUUGGAUUGGGUUCCAUAAUUAUUUUCUACAUCAUAAUGCAUAAAUUUAUCUCUGUAUUUUUAAGUAAAAAAUAUUAUAGCAUUUUUAAUUUUUAUUUUGAAAUAUUAAAUACAUCAAUUUAUAAAAUUGUACUAAUAAACUGCUUCAGUUUGUGAAAAUUAUUCUAUUGCAAAAUCGAAUUUGUAAAGUUGAAUUUAUUAAACAUUUACUAGAUAGUUAAAACAUGUGAAAAUUAUUGUUUUAAAGAUUAUGUUAACCACACAUCAAGUAAAAAUUUUACACAUAAAUACCAAAAACAUCCAAAAAUUAAUAUUACUACGUGUCGAAGGGAAUAAGAUAUUAUCAAAAUUCGUAAAUGAAAAUGAUUUAUAUAUAUAUGGCUUCCUGUAAAUGAAAAUGAUUUAUUUACUUAAAAAAAUAGUAUAAAUUUAAAUAUUUUAAACUAAUUGUUUGAUGACUUUAACUGAUUAUUUAGCCUAUUACUUAAUUUUUAUACAAAAGUAAAAUGCAUAUGUGCUCAUAUUCUUAUGAGAUGCAUCAAUUUUUUAAUUAUUAUUUAAGAUGAAUUAGUCCACUAAAACAAUCUCUAACUGUAAUUUUGAAAAAUUAUUUUUCUUUUUAUUUUUCACUAUCAAAGGAGAUUUUACGUUUAUUUGCACUAAUUAUAAUUAUUAGAUGUGCAUAGUCAAUAAUUAUAUAAGUACCUGUCUAUAUAAAUGCACUAAUUAUAAUUAUUAGAUGUACAUAGUCAAUAAUUAUAUAAAUAUCUGUCUAUAGAAAUUAAGGGUAAAUAAAGAAAAAUGGCAUCAAAAUGUAACUCAUGGAUGAGAUUUGCCUACUUGGUGUAUAGGACAACCUAUAUAUCAAAUUAAAAAUUUUUUUUUAAAAAUUAUUAUUAUUUUAUAUUUUUCUAGUGAAUGAUUAAAGAUACCUAUAUUAAAAAAAAUUAUUUUCGAUUUAUUUAAAACAUAUGUGGAAUAAACGAAUUCCAUAAAAUUUUGUGAAAUUUGUUUAGAAAUCCAAAAUUUUGUGUUAGGAAUGAAAAAAAAUACUGAUUUGAAUUCUAUGGAAUUGGAUAUGCCUAACUCAAACUCUACUAAAAUUGAUAGAAUUUGUAUACAAAUUCCAAAAAAUUAACUAUUGAAAAUUUUAUUGAUAAAAUUACCCUCAACUAUAAACUCAGCUAUUUUUACUUUUUUUUUCCUUUUUAUUUAUUUUCUUUGAAAAAUUCCAAACUAUAAAAACUGAGUACAACAAUUAUUUUCAAAUGCAAUUAAAAAUGAUAGUAAUAUUCUUAAUAUUUUUUUUAGUUUUGAAAUUAAUUACUUAAAUCAACAACAUCAAUUAAAUAUGAUGAAAUAUUAGUGUACUUAUUUAUAUGAAGUUUAUUAUUUAUAUUCUAAUAAAAAAUGACAAGUUAUUAUAUUGUUCAUAAUAAAUUUAAUUAGUGUUUGUUAUUUAUUUUUAUUAAAUUAUUAUGUCAAGAGUGUUAUAAGAAAUAAAAACUAAUUUAUUUCAAACAUAACUUUGUGGAAUUCAAUUGAAUUCUUUAUUUUAAAUUGUAGCAUACCAAAUAUGACAAAUUCAUUUGCAAAUGAGUUCUACUUGGAAUAAAUUUAUAAAUGAAUUCUACAACCAUGAUUUAUUUGUUUUAAACAGUCUAAUUAAUGUAUAAGUGGAGUCUACAAAACAGGUAUAUAUAAGUUCUUAUAUAUUAUUACGAAUGUGUCCCGCCCAUAAGUGAACGAUUGUAAAUUUAAAAUGUGUCCCCCAAAAAUUUGAAAUGCGUCCCCAGCUUUAGAUUGCGAGUGGGUGCAUGUCUAUAAAAACCCACUUAAGCAACACUUGAAGUACCACACUACUCUUUACAUUCUUUCGUCUUCAUAUUUCAAAAGCUCUCUAAUAUUAAGCGAUGGCUGUGUCUCCAAUCCAGUCGGUGCUUGGAAUGUUGGGUAUUAUGUCCAUGCAACACCGUCAUGCUGGGGUGCAUAUCAGCUCAUUUUAUCCACCUGUUGCACAAGUUUGGAACUCGUGGUUUAAUUAAGUCCUUUACCGCUUCUGGAUGAAGACUGAAAGGAUGUGUUUGUGUUAUCCUUUUAAGUAAUGUUAAUAAGCAUGGCUUUGACUGAUCCACUAUCUCCACUGGAGUGUGUGUGUGUGAAUCUCAAUGCUAUGAGCAAAUAAACUGUGUCUUUAUGUACUUCUAUUUCAUGUGCUCGUAAUAAAUCAGUCUUUCGGCCAAACAGUUAUUAAAUAUCUUUGCUUAAAAAUUUUUGAACAAAUAAUUUGUUUCCUCAUCAAAAUAUUUGAAAUAUAUAUUAAUAUAUAUUUUAAUUCAAGACUUAAAAAUAAGUUGCCUAAAUACUUUAUUUGAAACAAUCGAAUUAAUUUUUAACAAGACACGAAACAUAACUCCAAAAAAGAACAGAAAGUGUAUGUAAUGGUGUUGCAGACUGAAUGCAUUUCUUGUUUUCAAUAUGAUUGGUUAGUCACAACAUGAUAAAAGGUUUUUUACGAUCAGUUGUGGUUUUAGGUUAAUUGAAUUUAUAAAAUAAUUGAUGCAUUUAUCUAUAAUUUGUAAUGUUUUUUAACAAUUCUGUAAAACAUGGUUCUUUCUUAUGAAAUUGCCAAAUUACUAAAUAAUAGUUUCAGUACCAAUAUUUUAUAAUAAGUCCUAAACAUUAUAAAAGUGGUUAUUUUUUUUAAACAAAAGCUAUGGACUUUGGUUGUUCACAUUUUCCAAUGUUUUCUAUUUUUUUAAAAAUUAUUAGAUUAGAGAAUAAUAGCUCCAAUUGCCUAUAUUUUUGUUAAAAGUAGUUAUUUUUUGUAAAAGGAUUAUUCACAAAAUAAGAGUUCAUAUUAUCAAUAUUUUGUAAUAUUAUCAAAGAUCUUGUAAAAAAUGCUUCUUUUUUUUUUAUUAAAGAGUUGUUUAUAGAAUAAUAGUUCUGAUUACUAAUAUUUUGUAAAAUUUUCUAAUCUUUUUGUAAAAAAUAUAUAUAUUUUUUGUAAAUUUAGGUAAAACUAAGUAAAUUGUUAAAUUUAUCCCGACUCAUGCGUUGAUAAAAGGUUGUCCUCCAUCCAUAUUUUUGAUAGGGUUUUAGAUAGGUUCCAUAAUUAUUUUUAUGCAGCACAAUGUAUAAAUUUAUCUCUGUAUUUAUAUGUACAAAAUAUGGUAGCACUUUUAAUUUUUGCCAGUGUUAGAACUUACGUAACGUGGGAGCAAUAUUAGAUGAAAAAAUAAUUUUUUAUAAAAUCAUUCAAAAAUAAUAAAAUUGUAUAAUAAAAUAAUCAUGAAAUGUAUUACAAAAUUGUAUCUCAUUGAGAUAUGUUAAAAGAAAGUUAAAAUGCUAAGAUGUGUUUUCUUAAGUAUCCUGCGAAGCUUUUUACCAAAGUAUGCAAUAAAAAAAACUAUGCAUGGUAUAAUCUAGGGGUGUCAAAAUGGGUUGGUUUGUCAGGUUCGACACCAAUUCACCUAACACGCAACAUAAUUACGGUCAACAUAAAUACUAUCAAUUUAAUAUUAUUUUAAAUUUAUCAACAUGAACACGAUACGAAAAUUAGGCAAGUGAUAGGAACACGAUAAAUUUAACCCAACUAAUAUUAUAAACAAGUUAAGUAGUUCGUGUUGACCCAUAUACAACCCGUGUAAUCCGCUUGAUAUCAUAAACAAGUUAAAGGUCCUUACUGUUCUUAUUUUUUAUUUUUUUAAUUUUGAAUAAUUGAUAAAACUUGUUGGUCCCUACUGUUCUUUUUCACACGUGGCAAUCUUAUAGGCUUACACUUGGCUUCUAUAUAAUGGAAACUGAUUUUCUUUUCUAUAUUAUAUAGAUAUAUAGAUUUUGAUAUAUUUGAUACUUUAAUUUAUAAAAUUAUAUCCAUACAAUAUUUCAGCUUUUAAAAAUUAUUUUAUUGAAAAAUCGAAUUCGUAAAAUUGAAUUGAUUAAAAUUUACUAGAUAGUUAAAAUAUAUGAAAAUUAUUGUUUCAAAAAUUAUGCUAAUAACACAUUAAGUAAACAUUUUGCACGUAAAUACCAAAAACAUUAAAAAAAAUUAAUAUAACUAAUAUUAAAAGGAAUAAAAUAUUAUUAAAAUUUGUAAUUUUAAGAAUAUAAUAGAUUUAUCACAAAGUUUAGAAUCUAACAGUAUAUCCCUAAAAUAUAGGGAUUAAUUUAUAUAUUUGGCAUUUUUCUCCACGUUUUAGUAAGUUUCUGCGAUCUUACUUUCAUGACCACAAUCACACAAGCACAAGAAGCCAAGAAACCAUUAUUCGUAAGAUGCAAGACAAAGCUUUUUCUUCUUCAUAAAAAUGGACACAUAGCACAAUCAGUGUCAGCAAUUUGGGAAAGGAUGACACAAUAAAUUAUAAUUAUCACUCGCCAUCAGCUUUCUAUUAUUUGCGGGACAAGAGUAAGUGCACUUACCAACAGAAGACAAUGUUAAGGUUGAGGAGAAGGGUAGUGCAGUGGAUAUUCUUGCUUUUGCUAUAAUUUCUAUGUUUUGUUUAGGCUAAUUCAUAGCUACAGAAAUUAUCAUCUUAUCUAAAGUUUUUAUUUUUAUAUGUAUGUUGAGAUUUUUCAGAUUUUUUUCAUUUAGAGCAAGCUAGUAUGAGUGUAAAUGAGAAGUGUUUGUGGCUGAGUAUAAUUUUUUGAAUAAGCUAAAUUUUUCUGAAUUUAAAAUAAUAAAAUAAAUUUAUUUUGCCGAUUAAAAAAAUUAAAAUUAUAUGUAGUGGUUGUGGAUAUCCAACCUUUUUCUUUUUGUUUGAUGAGAUCCUGAUAAGUAUUUCUUUCAAAAAUUAUUUGGAUUCUGCAAUCUUCUGUCACAUGUAUUUGUCUUGCAAACCGUAAAAUUUUGAAUUUUCAGUAUUGGUUGCUAUACAUUUAUGAAAAUAUAUUUUCCUUUUUCAAAAGAAAAAAAAAUCUUAUACAAGUAUAACAACAAUCAUUAUCUAUCACUUGAAUCACUUGCAUCCAAACAUCAUUUGAUACUUUGUUAAAGUUGUCUACUUGGUACAACUUAAUUCUUUACCCGACGGCCGUUAAACAACACAUCAAGUAUUUUAUUCUAAGUUGAACAAAAAUGCCGGCUCUGUGUGUUUAUAUAUAUAUAUAUAUAUAUAUAUAUAAUUAAUAAUAAUAAAAAAAAUUCCUCCUUACAUUUCAUGUUUUUAUAUUUGGCCAUGCUUUAAUCUAUCAAUCAGUAUUUGUAACAUGUUUGGCCAUGCUUUAACCUAUCAAUAUCAAUAUCCAUUAUUGCUUUAUGUUCGAUGAGAUUUUAAUAAUUAAGUAUUUCUCUCACCAAUUAUUUGGAUUCUGUAAUCUUGUGUGACACAGUGACUUGCUAAUUGUUUAUGACUUGAUCCAUUCAUUUAUUAGAAGGAACCUAAUCGGCAUUAGUGCAAGAUUAACAUUAUUUCUGCUUACAAUUAAAAUGGCCAACCAAAUAUACGCUGAUAGAGUGUACCGUCUUUAGAAAACAAAUUGAUUAGUGUAUUUUUAAUAUAGUUUUUAUUAGGAUUUUUAGUAUUUUUAAUUAUUUUAAUUAGUUUCUAUUUAAUUUAUUUAUGUUUUUUUUCAAAGUUUCAUUGAAUCAUAUUUCACUUGAUUUUAAGAAAUUUUAUAGGAUUUUGAUAUAGAAAAGAGCAAAGUGAAAUAAAACUCUCAAAGGCUGGCACGUCUUAGGCGUUCAACUCAACACCCCAGUGCGGGAUUGAAGAGAAAUUAACAUAGAGACUCAGAGCGUAGCAUGCCCAAGCCGUGUAUUAAAAUUGUUUAGAUACGGCAGAGAUCUCUCCUUAUAUAAACUUAUUAAAGCUUUUUUAAGUCUAAUUAGGAAAACCACUUAAUUUGCAGAGGAAGAAAUCUAAUCACAAAAGAAAACGAUUAAGUCUUGUAUUUCUUCUGAAAUUAAGAGUCCAAUUGACCAAUUAGAAUUAGAACUCAAAUUAGGUAAUUAUCUUUGCGGUUCCCUUUUUUUUAACUUGAUAUUUAGCAAAUUUCUAAUUCUCUAUAAAAACCUUCUAGAACGAAAUCAAAAUAAUAAAGGAAGCAAAAAUUAAUAAUUAAAUAAAAUAUAAAUAAAACUAAAUAAAGACUAUCUAAAAUAAAUAAAAUACUACUCCCUCAGUUCUAAAAAAAUAAUCUCACUUUUUAUAAUGAAUGCCCCAAAAUAAUAGUGUCAUUUCUAUUUCGGAAAUAGGUUUUUGUUAACUUUCUUAUAUUCUGCCAACAAUUAAUAUAAGUAGACUUACAAAAUAUUCAGUCAAAAUAUAAAUAUAAAAUAAUAUAAAUUAAUUGAAACAUGUGCGGAGAUAUUAAUUUUUUUUACUGAAAAACUCUAUAAACAUUAAUCAAAAAAAUUUUAAUAUAAGGGUAUAAAUGAAAAAGAAGGAUAACUGAUAUAUUUAAACUAAUUUAACUAUUCAUUCUUAAUUUGUAUGAAAAAAGAGUGAGACUAUUUUUUUGUGACGGACAAGUAGAAAUUAUAAUAAAAAUUAUAUUAUAAAAAUUAUAAAAAAUAAACCUAUCACCUCUUUACAUUUCAUGUUUUUAAGAUAAAAAUAUUGAUGGGUUAUAUUUAUUUUGAAAUGUGAUUUUAUUAUAUAAAAUAGUGUUGAUGUUCGGAUUGCUGAAUGAUAAAUUGUGGCGGACUAUAUUAUAUGAUGUUUGAAUACUUGUUGCUCAUACAUUUGUUAUUCACAAAGGGUAUUUCAAUCUUCUUUUAAACUAGUUUUUUUUUUUUUACAACGUGCAUUGUAAGUUGAUCAUUUUCUUUAUAUAUUUAUUUUUUUAUCUAUAUAAUAUCAAAGUAUGAGUUUUGUUUAGAUUAAAAUAAAUAUAAAUGGUUAAUUUGUAUCUACAAACUACUUGUAAUGAAGUGGUCUCAAAACAAAAUUCAACCCAAUCUUUAGACCCACUUCUUUAGUUUCUAAUUUAUAAAUGCUGAUUUUUAAAAUCCUAAUAGGUGCCCAAAAAGAAAAUCAAAUCAUUACUCAAUCUUCAACCUCUGUCCUCAAUCUCAAAUCAAUAUUUAUAUACAACUAUAAUUAAAAAUAAUAAUAAAUUAUUUUUAUUGCUAGAUAAAAGAAAAGAAUUGAGAGGAUGAUCUGAAUUAAUAAUGAAAACUACUUUGGUUACAGUGGUAAUAUUAUUUACCCAGUAUAUUAAAGAAAUGAAUAUAUGCGCAUAUAAACAAAUACUGGAAACCCCCAAAUGUGACCCACACAGAACUAUAUAGUUCUAGUUUUAUUUCAGUUUUGUGGUUUGUUUUGCGAAUUCAUAACUUAAGAUUAUUAACUUAUGAAAACCCCUCGUGAGUCAAAUCAUAUAGUUUCGACAUCAAGUUAUUAUUCUCAUGUAAUUUGUUACCUUUUUCAUAUGAAAAACUCUUUUUCCGAUAGUGAUUAAUGAAAUAAAUCAAUCCAGGGGAAAAAUUCUGCCUCAAAGCAUUAAGUUCAAUAAUAAAUUAUACUUUGAACAAAGAAAAACAAAUCUAAUAUUAUAAAUUGGAAAAGAAUUCAAGCUACAUCAAAUCCCUAGGAUGAAGAUUUAGUUCGACAUAGUAAUUAAAUAAAACCCAAUAAUACUUGAACAAAAUUUCAUAAUAAGUGUGAAUAAUGAAAAGUAAAACAAGAUUAAGAGUUUAGAAAUAAAAACUAGGCAACAUAUAACGAGACGGCUUCCUUGAAUUUUUGCACGAAUCUUGAAUGCUUGAAGUCUUUGAGAGGGAAAAGAAACAGUCGAACAGAAAUUGUCAAAGACCAGAGAUGCCUCUAUAAUAAAUGGCCCCUCUCUUUAUAUAGACUUCUUGGGAGAAAAUUUGACUCUGUUUAGGAAAUAGACUCCUUAUUAAGUAAGAGAUCUUUUUGGAGAUAUGAAACUAUUUAGGCUUUAGAUUUCUUCUCAAUUAGGACUUUUUCCAUCUUCCUAAAUAGGAUUAGAACUUGUUUUGCACAUAAGAAAAAAUCAGAGGUGGGCCCAUGUAAGUUAUAGAAACUGGCUGGCGUUCUCAAUUUAGGACAUAAUCAAAUUUGUAGCAUGGGCGUGCUGUUUUGCACUGUCUGGGCGUGCCAGAGCCUGAGUUCCUUGGUUGGUUCAGCACGGGCCGUGCUGCGCAAUACGUCCAGAGAAAAUUCUACGGCACAUGCAUGCCCCAUAGCACGGGUAGGGCAUGAUAGGCUUUGACUUUCCAGGAUGAAAUGCAUCAUAGCUUAAGCACCCCCUGAGGUCUUCUUAGGCACGGGCGUGCUAAUGUGCACAGGCAGGGCCUGCUAGGGCUUGAAUGUUUUGCUUUAAUUUGCUCUUUUCUGUGUCAAAAUUCUGUAAAUUUCUUUAAAAUUAAGUGGAUUAUGAUUCAAUGAAACUUUGAACAAAAACAUAGAUAAAACUAAAUAAAAAUUAAUUAAAGUAAUUAAAAUUACUAAAAUUCCUAAUAAGAACUAUAUUAAAAAUACUAUAAAAAUAGCACCUAUCAUCUUCAAUAAUGUUAACUUCCCUUAUCUUUUUUUUUUUUUUUUCCAAAUGACCCUUAUCUUAUUAAUUUGAUUUAUAAUAAUUUAUAAUAGCAAUUUCUUUUAUUCACAGUUAUUUUUCAUAUUUUUAAGAGAAUCUUAUAUGAAUCGGAGUGUAAUUAUAAUUUUUGUAGUUAUAUUUUUCAUAUUUCUUUUAUUCACAGUUAUAUAUAUAUAGAUUUUGUAGUUAGUAGUAAACCCUAAACCUCUAUUUCUAGUCUGCUUCACCAGUUAUCUAGGUCAACACUAUGUCCGGCCGAUUUUAUUGCAUUGGUUCCAUGUCUUGUCAGGCUGGUGGCCUUGCCGACAACUUAAUUUGUAUACAAAAGUACCCAUAUUCUUAUGAAUUUUUUCUAGUGAAAUUUAAUAGUGCCGAUGAUAAAUUGGAUUUUAGGUAUGACAACGUGAUAAUAAUUCAGUAACAAUAGGAUAAAUAAGCUCAUUAUUAUCAAUAAUCAAUCAAAUUAUUCUACCUGUUAUUUAAUACCUCUUAAAUAAGCCGUUGUUGCUUGAUAUGAAAAAUAAAUUCUGAUUGAAAGCGUGAGACCUAACAUAAUAGGUUAAUAUCCAUAUAAUAUAAGAAAGCAGGCCGAGCCGGAUAUCUUGGCUUCAAUGAGUUUAUCACUGCUAUGCAAGUUUUAAUUUAGUACUUUUUCUGAAGUUUAUUAUUAUUAAAUUAAUUGUUAUUUACUGAUUAACUGAUGCUUUGAAGGGUAGUUAGUUUCUUUAGCGCAAGCAGGACAUGAAAUAACUCAUGAUCUCUUUUUUAUUGCACGUGCGCAUAAAUAAAUUAAAACAACCUUUAGCCCCAGCCAGGUGGCCAGGUAUGUUUAUAAAUUAUUGUCAGGUAUACCUAUUGUCUCAUUGAAACUCUAUUAUCACUUGAGUACAAAAACGACACGACUUCACUAUUGACUCAAACAACACAACAUAAUGAUAAGUAAGUUUUUAGGUUAUACCGUGUUUAGUUAGAGAUAAUGCAAUAUAAUGUAAUUAAAUAUAUAAUAUAAUAAAAAAUAUAAUUAAUGAAAUAGAAUAAAUUAAGAUUUUAUUAUUAUAUUUAAUAAUGUAAUUGAGAAAAUUUAUAUAAUAUAAUUACAAUUUUAUUUUUAUGUUAGUUUGUUAAUACCUAAUAUAAUUAGCGCACCUACGAGUGGCACAAGGCUGCCUAUUUGAGGUUACAUUGCUGCAACUUUGUAGGAGCGGAUUCCAUGGUUGCAACCUGUUGCGUAUUUUAUUUUAUUUAAGAUAUUAUAGGGGUUAAUUUUAGGAGGUUAAGCGAUGUAAUAAUGCACCCUACUAAUAGAUAAAUUUAUUUAAAUAUGAUUAUGAGAAACGUGAAAAAGAAAAACAAAACAAAGCCUUCAAAUAAAAAUUUUCUACAUUUUCUUUUUGAGGAAAAUAAAUAUAAAAGGUAAAUAGAAUGGUAUAAAACACAGCCUCUUAAGUUUUUGUUUACCUGACAAAUUUAAAUGCGGAGGUAUUAUCUAACAAUAAUUAAGAGGUAUGUCUUAGAGUGGGAUCCAAAGAUGAAAAUCGUAUACUAAAGGAGCCAGCUACUCUUCCAAGAAGAGCUGAAAGAGUGUCUUCAGUUGGAGACAAUAAUAUUGAGAUUCUAAAAAAAUUGGGUCCAAUUACUACUCUUUUAGCCACAUUGGUGGAAAAGAUAGAUAAAAACAUUGAGCAAAUAAAAAAAAAUAGUGCACAAAUUGAAGAGUUUUAGUCUUUUGUUGCUGAUUUGAGGCACUUUCACCAAGAAAUGGGUCAGUAUUUUGAGAUUUUUGAAACAUCUACCGAAGAAAAAAGUUGUCAAAAAAGUAAAGAUGCACUUGAAGGUAGUGAUCAUCAAGUACUCGUAGACUCAGAUGUGACCCAACCUCCUACACAAGAACCAUAAACAAAAUGGAAAUUUGUUAACUUUCAAGAUCUUUUUGCAAGUGAUGAGAUAGAUGACCCAGUAAGAAAAAUUAUGGAGGGCAUACUUGAUGCUAUUAAUGUUGAUCUAGGUAAGAAUGAUGAUAAUAAAUAGGUUAAUGUGGAUUUAUUGGUAGUAAUUCUGCACUUUCUGAUUAUUUUUUAUUUUUUUGUAAGUCACUUUGUGUCCUUUUGUUUUUAGUAUUUGUGCACUUUUCAAUAGUUUUUGGUUUCUCUAUGUUAGUUAACGGUUGUAAACUUUUGUAAGCUAUUUUAUAGCCUUUUAAUUAUUAAUUGUGCCACUUCUAUAAGCCAUUUUGUGUCCAUAUUUUUAGUACUUCUGCACUUUUUCAAUGAUUUUUUUCUGUGUAGUUAACGGUUCUAAACUUCUGUAAGCCACUUUGUGGCCUUUUAAUUAUUAGUUGUACACUUUUGUAAGUCAUUUUGUGGCCAUGUUUUUUGUACUUGUACACUUUUUCAAUGGUUUUUUAGUUAACGAUUCUGAACUUCUGUAAGCUACUUUAUGCCAUUUAAUUAUUAGUUGUGCACUUUUACAAUAGUUUUUUUUUUUUUUAGUUAACGGUUCUAACCUUUUGUAAGCUACUUUGUGGUCUUUUAAUUAAUAAUUGUGCACUUCUGUAAGCUAUUUUGUGGCUAUAUUUUUAGUACUUGUGCACCUGUUCAAUUGUUUUUUUUUUCUCUAUGGUAGUUAAUAGUUUUGAACUUCUGUAAGCCACUUUAUCGCUUUUUAAUUAUUAGUUGUGCACUUUUAUAAGCCAUUCUGUGGCCUUGUCAUUCUUAGUUGUGAACUUUUUCAAUUUCUUAUAAUGGUUAUACUCUUUCGUAAACCACAAUGUUGCCUUAUUAUUAUUAGUUGUACACUUUUCAAAAUGUAAAGUAGUCACACAUUUUGCUAGAGUGCACUUUUUAAAAAAAUUGUGCCUUCAAACUCACCCUAAAACUCGAAUUUUAGGGGAUCACUCAUAUUGUAGACAACCAUAGCCAUUUCUGCUUUAUUAUGUACAGGAUUCAAGUCUAGAGGAUGCAAAGUAAUGGUCAUUUUUGGAUAUUGUAUGACCUAUAUGGAUGUUUUCGAGAGGUAAAUAGAUUUUCCUUGAAUCAGAUCAUCAACUGUAAUUCCAUUUACAUGUGGCCAAUGUUUAGAAGUCGAAGAGUUUGAUUGUAAGCUCAAAAAAUUUGGCUCCAAAUUCUUUUUCAUUUUGGCCGCAAUGUAUUGCAUUUGGGCACUACUUUCUGAAUUUUAUUUAAAUUUGGAGAAAUCAAAUUUUGACUUUUAAUUUUGAAUUUAAAUUGAAAAAUUAUUCAAGUUUAAACAACUAAGAGCCAAAAUUUAAGUUUUCUCUCCUUUAUUUUCGCGUAAAUUUUGGAAAUUUGUUGCAUUCAAUGAAUAAGUUUGAAAAAUUUCCAUUCAUUUCUCAAUCAUGUCAUUACACAAGUAACACAACCCAAAAGGCAUGCGCCUAUUGGGAAAUGUGACAUAAGGACACGUGAAGGUUGCUUUUUCUUGAUCCGUAGGGGCUAUAGGGAUCUGGAAAUAACCAAAUAAUCCAUCUAAAAAGCAAUAAAAUCUAUUCCCUACUAGCCUUUGUAACAUCUGAAUAAUAAAAGGUAAGGGAAAGUGAUCCUUCCCAGUGGUUGAUUUAAGUUUCUAUAGUCGAUGCAUACUCUCCAUCCAGUCACUGUCCUAGUGGGAAUUAAUUCAUUAUUCACAUUUUUUACUGCAGUUGUAACAUCCUACUGAAUCGAAUCGUUGCAUAGAGUCGAGUCGAGUUGGGCCGAACAAGAACCCGGUUCGAGCCAUUUAAAUCCAGAGUGGGGUAGAAUGGGAUGUAACUUAAAUAAGUAAAAGAAGUGGACUUACUUGAAUGAAACAAAAAGAUCAAAGUAUAAGGAGUAGGACUUACUUGCACAGCAGUCAUCCCCCUUUCUUAGGAACUACCUGAACUGGACUCACCCAUGCACUAUCAGAAAUUGGAUAAAUAAUACCUGCUUCAAGUAGCUUUAUCACUUCCUUCUUUUCUACCCCUUGCAUAGCCGGAUUCAACCUCCUUCUACCCCUUGCACAGCCGGAUUCAACCUCCUUUGUGGUCGAAUAGUGGGCUUGUAAUCAUCUUCCAUUAAAAUCUUAUGCAUACAUCAUCUUCCAUUACUAAAGACUCUGUGAGACUCAAAGAAUAUAUCAUGAAUACAUCAUGCAAUACUAGCAGCCUAUAAAUGUUUCCCUACAAGCCCAAACAAAAUACGCAAGCCAGCUGUUAGACUUCAGAAAAUGUAAAAAAUGAAAAAACUGACAAAUACAAAUACCAGAGUUUCUAAGCUACAUGAAGACAAGCAAAAAAUAGUUGAACUGAUACGGAUCGAAUCAAAGAAUGAGAUGUAAGUUCGCCUCUAUGGCACCCCUCGUUUAUAAUGAAACGGAAACACCAAUAAUCGAGAUUAAACGCUCAAGGAAACGGUAACACCAAUAAUCAAGCAAAGAACAAGAUAAACGCCACAAAGAGUUGAUAAGUUUACCUUAAUUCUUGAUGCAAUUAGAGGAAGCAAUCUCUCACUAUCACUCUAAGCAAAGGAGUACAAGCUUGAACAAAUGAAGUUUAUCAAAAAUCAAAAGUUCCGUCCUUACAUGGAAGACAAGUUAUUUAUACUAAAUAAGGAAUCUAGGUUUAACAAAGCAUAAAACACACAAAACACGCCUAAGACACCCCAAGCCUUUAAGUCGAUGUCACUGUAGCGAGUCAAAUUUACUGUAGCAAGUCAAACUAAUUGAAACGGGCACUGUAGCAGGCGUGCUUUCCUCCACUGUAGCAGGCGUGCUUUCCUCCACUGUAGCACUGUAGCAGCGUGCUUUCCUCCACUUAAUAUGCCACCAACAACAUUAAAAGCCUAGGAAUGCCUUCAAGUUCCUCACAACACUUGUUGAAUGCGACAUCAUGAAGUUCUUGUGUUAUUUGGGCUUGAACAAAUAAUGAUAUGGCUGCCCCAUAUCGCUUGGCACGGCUCCUUGUAAUCGGUCCAAUAGGAAGCACCAAUGGAUCUCCUUCGUCGUUCACCAUGCCUCCUUGCGAUCCAGUGACGAGUGAUGAUGGAUCCGUAUCAUGAACAACCCCUUUUCUCUUAAGUGAAAUAUUUUAAUCAAAUCAACUCCAGGGAAUUCCUCAAGAUGACAUCAAGAAGUAGUCUCACGACAAAUCACUGCUUUCUUCUAAUGCCCAAACCCCAAUCAUUGUUACAUACCAACAAUGCCAACAAUUAAAUAUCAAAUCCCUCCCAACUCGGAAGCACCUAUAUAGAUAGCCAAAGGAGUGGUAUCUAUGUCACCUUUUCCCUUCAUAAUAUGCACACACACACUAACUAAUAGGUGCCUUAGAAAAGAAAGUUGAAUAAUAGUUCAUGGCAAGGACAUGAGUGCACACUAAUUCAGUGUUAAAGGUAAUAAAUGUUGAGAAGACUGAACUGAUUGAAGGACAAGAAGAAACUUCUAGCAUCUAGAAUAAGCCUUAUUAGACCAAGUUAUCAAGCUAUAAAGGACACUAGAGUGUCUUUGAUGAAGCUGAGCGGCUACAGAUUAUAAAACUGUAAAGGCCUCAUUCCUGGAUUUGCAGAGGUUUGGGUCACAAAUAAAUCAAGAAUCGACUAAAACUUGUCAUUUCCAAUUUAUCAGGCAGUUGGCACUAACAUAUUGCUCAUAUAGUCAGUAAACUUAAGCAUGAAUUAAACAUCUAAAGAAAACUCAGGCCUAAAUGCAGUACAAGCAAAUAAUUGAAUUGAUUUGGCAAGUUGAUCCAAGAUCUUCUUUACCAAGUUAAAGAAAAAAAGACCAGGAGAAACAAGAAUAAAUAUUCACAACAAAUUCAAGCCAGAAUAUCUACAUUAAAUUAAUAAGAAAACAACAACUUGCAACAUAAAAGUACCUGUAAAGCAUCUUGUUUGGGUGAAGAGGAUAACACCAUUGUGAGAAGUUCAAUGCUAUUUCUUGCCACAUCAAAUGCUUCCUUAGUUUGUUCAGCUGUAAAGCUUACCACGGGCAUAUCAUGCUGAAUCUGCUAAGCAAGAUUUGCAUCCACUUCCGGUGGUGAAACUGUACGAGGAGGGGUAAAGAUACGUGCCAAACUCUCAUUGUCACGACCAGGGAACCGGAUACCCCUUGAUCUUAAACUCUAUAAUAGCAAAGGAAAAUGCCCAAAAUAGGGGGAUAAAUGAGAGGAGAGUUCAAGAAGCCAUGACUUGGUGUUAGCCAAGAAUAGCCAAAUUUGAAACUAAGAUCUAAAACAGCAUUAUAUCAUAAACGAACACACAACAUCCUUGUGCAACUCAAACUAAGAUCUAAAACAGCAUCUAAAACAGCAUUAUAUCAUAAUUCAUUUUGUUUCAUAAUAAAUUAGGAAAUAAAUUAUCUAAUAGUCUUGGUAUUUGUAUCACUACAUGUAUCCAUGGAUUUUAACUGUAAAUCCAAAUUCAAAUAGGAAUAAAUAAAUGUUUAGAAUUAACUUUCUAUCAUUUUGCUGUCCAAUCUUUUGUCUCUGCAACGUAGAAAACAGGCAAAUGGUAGAGUAAACUUUUAAAUAGCAUAAAUAACAAAAGAUUAUAAUUUCACAAGUCAAAGCCAUGGAUUUACAUUUUUUAAGCUAAUAUUUUUAAUUCCUUAACUCUUUUCUAAAUUCAUAGUUAUUAUUUGGAAAGAUAAAUAGAAAGGCAAGAAAAGUGAUAAAAAAAAUACAAAAUUUUGUAUUUAAUGAGAAUCAAAUUCACCUUUAAUCUGCAUUUUAGCGAGUCACCAGCAAUAUUUUUUUAUUGCCUAAACAACCUAUAAUUUGAAAGUGCAGGCAAAAUAAUCAAAAUAACAUGUAAUCAAAGAGUAUGAAGGCAACAAAAUAGCAAAAAAAUUUUAAAAAAAACUCAAUCCAAGAAAAAUAACAACAAAAUAAAAACUCAAUCCAAGAGAAAAGCAAAAAAAAUAAAAAGUUCACCUGAUUCUGCAGUAAUGAAAUAAAAAGAAUAACAAAUACAAAUAAUAUAUAAGUAGAUAUAUGGUUAGAGAGAGAUAAAAAAAAAGGAGCAAUUCAAAAGCUUUCAAAUAAAAAGAUACAUAGCAAAAUAUGAUUAAAUUUGUUAGAUUCUUUCGUCAAAAAAAAAAAUUGUUAGAUUCAAUUUUCAAACAAAGAUGCAAUAUCAAUACAAUUCUUUAAAUAUAAAUAUGAAUAAAUUUUAAAAUAUAUUUUAAUGGCCAAUCAAAUUAUAAAAAUAAAGAAAAAAAAUAGUAAAAAGAAAAAAAAAGCUCAAAAAUUUGUUAAAAAAGAAAAAUAUGAAUACUUAAAAAAGUAGAGAGCCAACUAAGCUUUUGUAAGUUUUUUUUUUUUCAGGAUUAUAUAUAUAUAUAUAUAUAUAUAUAUACACACAUUAUAAUUAGGGGCGAAUUACUUUUUAAUCCCUGAAUUUUGGUGUAAUUAAUAAUCUUAUUCAUUUAUUUUGAAACACAAAUUAAUUCAUAUGAUUGGUUGCACUAUUAAGUUUUAUAUCCAUCCAUGAAACAAUUUGAUUUUGAUAGUGUUCAGCAAUAACUUUUUAACUAUGUUAUUUUUUUUAUAGUAUUCGGUAAUAUGACAUUUGUACUAAUUUUUAAAUGUUAAGUUAGCGUUUUAUAAAAAUGUUUAGCUUUUAAUAUUUUAUAAAAAGCUACUCAAACAGCUAACGACUAAACGCAACUAAAACAAUUAAUAGCUGUCAAAACAAUUAAUUUUGCUGAAGAGAUCCUUUAACUUUUAAUGUUAAGGUAGCGUUUUACAAGAACGUUUAGCUUUUAGUGUUUUAUAAAAAACAACUCAAACAGCUAACAAUUAAAUGCUACUAAAAUCAUUAAUAACUAUCAAAACAAUAAAUUUUACAGAAGAAAUCCUUUAGCAGUCAAAUAGAUAAAACACAGUCAAAAUUGAGGGAAAAUAUUUUGGUGUCAAAAUUAUUUUAUAAAUAAAUCUCAAAAAAGUAAUCAUUAAGUGCUAAAAGAAAAAUUAGAUUGUUAUUUCUUUUUCUUUUAUUGUUUUCACACUGAAAUUAUGGUACAAAGUUAUUGAUACAAUGCCGCAAUUUUAAGCAGACUGACAAACUCAAUAUAACACUAACAAAAUAACACAAUUUUUAAUCAACAACACAAAUACUAUCAAUUCUAUUGUGCUUGAUUGUGAAUCAAGAUGGUAUGUAUAAGUUGUGUGGUUGAAUAUAAAAUAUGGUUUCUGAUUAGGAAGAAGAUUCCACACUGGGAAGAUUGGUGGCAUUGAUAUAAUUUAUGUGAUGACUGGGGACCAAAUUGCAAGAUUCCAUUCGUCACUCUCUUUACUUUUUUGUAAUAUAUACAGUUUAAAAUUUACCUUCAUUGCCUUUUUAUCAUUCUUUCUAAAUUCUAAAUUCCUAAUUAAUAUGCAUGGUUAAUAAAGUUUAACUAAAACAAUGUAAACUGGAUCAAAUCUAAACCUUCCACCAAAUCUAUAAUCUGUUGAUUUCUUUACAUUUUCUGUCAAUUUUCUCCAAUCUCUUACAAUUGUUAGGGUAAAUUUAGUUAAAUGCAGGCAUAACAGUACAAAUACUUGCUGGUACAUUUGAAAUUGAAGGAAUAGUUCAUUACGGAACAGCAGGAAGUGUUAAUGCUUCAUUAACUAUUGCUGAUGUGAGUGUUCCAACUACGUUGCCUUUACGAGUUCUUGGAAAUGGAAGGUAAAACUUUUCAAUCUUCAUUUUCUUUAAUUUUCAAUUUUCUUCUACUUGCCUUUAAUCCACUUGGGAAGUGCAGGAGUUGAAGUCAGGGACAGGGAAAUUGCCAGAACUAAAAUUUGGAGACUUUAAUUUUCCAGGAAAAGGAGAAAAUUUAUUAGCAAAGAUAGAAUUCACACCAACACAGGUUUUUUCGAUUGGAAAAUCAAUGGAGGAGAUGUUUUGGCUUCCAAUAGACUCUAAAUGGUUUAACAUUGCUUCUCAACUUCUGGUUUGCCAUUUUCCUGAUUCAACACAUUGUACUAGAAACCGAAACUCGAUUUUCAAACCUAAACCUAAAAUAUUCUCGAUAAGAAUAUUUUUGACAUUUUGCAGUAUGUGUUUAUUUAUUAAUUUGUUACAUCCAAUUCUGCAGGAAAUAAAUUUAGAACGAGGUGUAAACGACACCUAUUGUUUGGCAGAAGCACCAAAAGUAGUGUUUGGAUUAAGAGGCUGCACUGCUUAUAUAUUCGUUGACAAUGCAGGGUAUAGAGAUUUUCUUUUCAAACAAUUCAGUGUCUCAACAGUAGAUGAAGAGAGUGCAGCUAUCGUCAUGGUUAGUAAGAACUUCUUUUAUUAAAUUAACCAAGUAGAAAAGUUCACAAAAUACAUAAUUAAAAUUGUAAAAUUAAUCAUAAUCAUUAUAAUUUUCAAUGGAUUUUAAGGCUUCUCUGUCAAAUGGAGUGCCUUGUGUUGUGUUUCGCGGGGUAUCGGAUUUAGCUGGUGGAGAACUAAAGCUGGCUGAGACGAGCUUCAGUCCUCUGGCUUCUGUCAAUGCUCUUAUUGCUGCGGUUGAGUUUAUAAAAUUAUCAGGGAAUAAGGUUAAGACUAAUACAUAUGCAGUGCAGGAAAAUUGAAACUAUAAACUCCAUCAACCCCUUUUCUUUUCUUUUCUUUGCUAAUGAUUAAUUAGACUGCUUGUACUCGCUAAUUUAUAAUCCUGUUGCAAAUUAUAAACUAGGGUUUUAUUGAGGUUGCAAUAAUAUAUUAUUCUUAUUGUUACUAUGAAAACAAAAUAUUAUUGACGAAUCAACUCCUCUCGCCUUCCUCUUCAAUUUGUUGGCUUCAAUCAUGAUUAUUAUUGACGAAAUCGGAAAUUCCCAAAAGGUGGCCGGCCGAUUUCCGGUCAAUCGAUAAAUGCCCACGCUAAAAUAACAUCACGUUCGUUAUCCUUGCUCUGAGACGAACUUUCUGAUGUAUGAUUUGCUAAAUUUGGGUGUAGUUGACUUUUCUCACCCACCAUGAACGGCGGCCGACAGCGAUUUUCCGAUCAGAUUCAGAAUAUAUAAUUAGUGUUGCGAUCAGAUAGUAAUUGACCCUUGAUUUAAUAAUUGAUGCAAAUUGAGAAAUUAGAUUGUGAAGCCGAAAUUCAUAGAAAAUGAAGGUAUCGGUAAUUUUCCGACCUUAGAACAGAUUGAGUUAGUUAUUUGUAAAGUAAACGGAUUGUUAUGGCAGGGGGACAGGUUUUUUUUUUUUUUUUUUUUUUUUUUAUAAUAUGGCAGGUGAACAGUUAAUUACCGUUAAACUUGAUUUAGAAAUUGUUUAAUUCAUACUUAUUCUUUUUAAUUAAUAAAAUAUAAAAUAAAAGGGAGGAAGAAAAGAAAAAAGGAAGUGCAAGCAUACUAAGGAUGUGGCGGAGGAGAGAUAUACAGUGAAAAUAGCUUCUGAAUUUUGGUUACAACUUUGGCAACGGAUAAAAUUUCUGUUGCGAACCCCUUUGCAGACUCUCAGAGGAAAACUUCUAUUGUGUUAUAUCUUUAGAAACGGAAAAAAAGUCCGUUUCUAACACGUUCAUAGAACCCUUCAUCAACUCUUGGCAAAGGAAAAAUAAUGAAACAAGAUUUGUUAAUUAAUAAAAAUAAUAUGAUUAAAAAAACUAAUAUAAUCAAUCUAAUUAAAUUAUAUAAAUAAAAUUAAAAUUUCUCUAAUUAGUGGGUCUAUCUCUUUAAGAUAUUUCAUGAUAAUGCUAUUGAGGAGGAAAAACUUAUAAGUUUGUAAUUAUUCGUGAUUACUAAACAAUUACAGUUAAUCUAUAGAUUUAAAUUAUAAGAACUAUAACUAAAAACUAUUCUAUUAAUUUGUAAAUAGAUAAAAACUAUUCUAUUAAUUUGUAAAUAGAGAGAGAGUUAAGGUUAUACUUAUCUCAGAAGAAAAUAUGAUUGCAAAUUCAAUAAUUCCAAAUUAGCAAAAACUUGAUGUAACAAUUCUUGAUAGUCAAAAGCAAUUAAAACUAAAAAUAUAUAUAGUGGUAUGAUAGGACAAGUUCCUAAUUAGAAUGAAUUAAAUUUAUAAUAUUAAUAUAAUAAAAAUAAUAAAUUGAUAUCAUAAUUUGAAUAGAAUCGGUAAUGAUAUUUUUGUCAAUUAACAAACUUAGUAUCGGCGUUUUAGAAAUCUUAUAUUCCCCUCAUUCGUACUUUUAUAUAUAUUAUAAAUUAUAAAUUAUAGAUUAUAGAUAUGGUUAUAAAGAAUUAAAAAUGCGAAAAUUUAAAAUAAAAAUAUUGAUGGGUUAUAUUUAUUUUGAAAUGUGAUUUUAUUAUAUAAAAUAGUGUUGAUGUUGGGAUUGGUGAAUGAUAAAUUGCGGCGGACUAAGUUAUCUGAUGUUUGAAUACUUGUUGCUCAUACAUAUGUAUUUCAAUCUUUUCAUUUAAACUAGUCUUUUGUAUAUGGUUAUAUAUUCAUUUUUUUAUCUAUAUAAUAUUAAAGUAUGAGUUUUAUUUAGAUUAAAAUAAAUAUAAGUACUCAAUUUGUAUUAUAUUUUACCGUACAAACUACUUGUAAUGAAAUGGUCUCGGAAUAAAGUUCAACUUAAUCCCUAGACCUACUUCUUUAGUCCCUAAUUUAUAGAUGCGGAUCUUUAAAAUCUUAAUAGGUUCCCAAAAAGAAAACCAAGUCAUUACUGAAUCUUCAACUCCUGCCCUCAACACCAAAUCAAUAUUUAAAUAUAACUAUAAUGAAAAAUAAUAAUAAAUUAUUUUUAUUGCUAGGCAAAGAAAAGAAAUGAGAGGAUGAUCCGAAUUAAUAAUAGAAAUUACUUUGGUUACGGUGACAGUAUUAUUUACCCAGUGUAUCAGAGAAAGAAAUAUAUGCGCAUAUACACAAAUAAUGAAAUUCCCAAAAUGUGACCCAAAUAGAACUAUAUGACCCAAACAAAACUAUAUAGUUCUAGUUUUAUUCCAGUUUCCUAAACACUAUUUUCUUUUAAUCAAACAGAUUUAGGAUAUAAGAGAAAAAAUAUCAAGAAAAUUAAAAAUGUUUAAUCAUCAAUAAAUCAUCUAUUUAUUGCAAUGGGAUAUAAAUCUCUUAAAAUGAUAAUAGUUACAAAUCAUUCAAUAACGAAAAAGAAAAUAAAAAAUUAUUAUUAAGAAUAAAACUCUUUUAAAACUCAUCUAAUAAUAAAAAAGCAUUUCAAUGUAUAUAGAGAUAUAUGAAUGUAUCAAUAAAAUAUUAUAUACUGUUUAAAUUAAAAUUUUCAACUGUUUACCAUCCCAAGUUUAAUUAUGUACAUUCUAUUUGAAAAUUUAUUUUUUUAAAAAAUACAUCCAAUCAAAUCAUACAAACAUAAAAAAAGAAUAUUAAUAUAAAGAAUGUAUUUUCUUUCUUUUUUUUAUCUAUACCCUAAAAGAAUUAAAUAUUUAAUAAAUAAAAUAUAAAAAUAUUUUCAAAUGUCUCAUUAUCAUAUAUAUUUAUUAAAACAUAAAUUUAGUAAAAGUAAAACUUAAAUUUUAAAUGCUGAAUUGUAUAUAUAUAUAUAUAUAUAUAUAUCAUAUAUAUAUAUAUAUAUAUUUUUAAAAUAUAAAUCUUUUAUUCGUUAGGAGGAUUGAUUGCCGAAAUUACACUGCGAGCUACACAACAAAAAAUAAUCCUCCACUCACCAAAUUGGUGAAAAUACCUUUGGUCGAGAGGAUUCGAACUCGAAACAUCUCACUCCUCACAUAAGUGAGAAGACAAUCAGACCACACAUAAUUGACUUGAAGAAUAAUUUUUAUAAAUACAUCAAAUCAAUUAAUAAAAUGUAAUUUUCUAAUUGACAAUAACUAAUGUUAUUUUAAGAUAUCCUAAAUUUCAUUAAGUUCUCUAUUAAAAAUCUCAUUAUGUUCGAUCUUUUCUAUACUGCAAAAUAGUUAUCAAAGAUCUUUGUUGAAAAAUAUUUGAAGAGAUAAUUUAUUUUCUCAUCAAAAUAUUCAAAACACGAGUACAUUUUUUGGUAUAAUUAACAAGUAUAUUCAAAAUAGUUUUUUUUUUUUUUUUUUCUAGAAGCAACAUCUAAUACAAGAGAUGAUUGAAAAAUAUAGGUAAAAUAUGAUUUUCGCUGUAAUGUUGAGUUUUGACAAUUAAAGUUUUAUUUUUGUUUUUAGAAGAUACACAUUAAUUAAUAUGUUGGUAUAAUUAGGAGUAAGGAAACAUUGCAUAUGUUCUCAACAUUUAAGGGAAAAAAAAGAUUUCUUAAAUACUAUUGGUGUCUAACCCAUUUGGUAAUUUUUUUUCACUUGAUUGUAUCUUACUUUGGCUUCUUCACAAGAACUCGAAUUGAAUUGCAUCAAUUUUUUAAACUCUUCUUCUUGGGCACGGUUUUGAAUUGAAGAAAUUGGAAAAGAAAUUGAAGAAAUUGGAGAAUUACUCCACAAGGCCAUGAAUCCACUUUUGGACCCUCGUAAGCCCGCCGUGCCAUCACCUCCGGCGCCGUGAAAAUUGGUGUUCCACAAGCUGUCUGGAGAAUACAUCUGUCGUUUUGGGUCCCAGCAGCAAGUCUUUUGUUUUUAUAAGCGGCAGCUUGUUAUUUGUUGGGUUGCAACUUGAAAGGUUGUUUUGAGUGCAGCCAGGUGGCCAUUAUUUGGUGUAUAAUUCCCGAAAUUUUGCUUUUUUUUUUUUUUUUUUUUUUGGUUAAAGGACUGAGAUGGAAGAGGAAGAGGUUGAGAUGUAGAAGAUGAGGACAAUUUUGUCUUUUAUAGUAUAUUUAACGGUAAAAGUAGGAAAAUUAUACGGAAGGGCACGAUUGUUCAACGAAGUCAAAAGUUAAGGGCAAAAUAAUAUAUUUCUAAAACCGCGAGAAUAUGCUAGUUAAUUUUAACAAAAUAUGAGGAUAAAAUCAUAAUUUUUCCUCUAUAAAAUUUGUGGCGAAUUUCCUCGGGAACAUAAUCUGAGCUCUAAAUUUUGUAUUGGAAUUUAGUACAAAAACUUUAUAAUUAAAGAUCAUUUUUUAGUACUUCAUUUAUGAAAAUCAUGUACAUAGUUUAUAAAUUUAUAUUAAUUUUUUUGUGCAACAUAUACAUUUUGUUUAAUGUACAUAUCUUGAAAAUAAAGUUCUGCCACCUUAGGAAAAAAAAAAAAAAAUCUUACACUUCGUUCUGUAUAAAAGAAUGCAAAUAGAAUUCACUUAUGAAAGAAUUCUAGAUUCAUUUCUAAAUGAAAUUUUCAAGUUUGGAAUAAAUUUAAAAAUUGCAAAUUCAUUUGCUUUUAUUAGUAAGAUAUCAUUUGCAUCAUAAUUUUAGAAAGCUAAAAGAGGAUGGAAAGUUUUGUCACAAAGCUUGAAUUGUUUAAGCUUGUAUAGAAGAUUUUGUAAUAAAGUUUGAAGGAUUUAAGUUUGUAAAAUUCAUUUGAAAAAUCUAAAAAUUUUUUUAUGGAAUUUAAUUUAGUUAAAUUGAAAUCUAUAGAAUUGAAUUUGUAAAAUUUAAAUUUUUAUAUUUUUCACAACAAAUAUAAAAAUUUGGAUUUAUAAAUGAAUUUCACAAAAUCUUGCUGUGAAAUUCAUUUAUUCCAGACAAGAGUUAAAAGCUAAAAAAAAAACUAUAGUAACUUUUUAAUAGCUGUUUUGGUAGCUGUUAGUUAUUUUAAUAACAUUUAAUUAUUAGCUGUUUUAGUAACUUUUUAUAAAACGCUAAAAGCUAAACGUUAUAUGGAUUAACUUUUUAUAAAACGUUACCUUAACUUCUAAAAGCUAAUUCAAACGCUUUAUUACCGAAAACUAUAAAGAAUGACAAUUAGCGUUUUGAUCGGUCAAAACAUUAAAAAUUACUUUAAAAGCUAUCGCCGAAUACAGUUCUAAUACAUAAAUUUACCCUUGAAAUUUAUGCGAUUUAUCUUAUGAUACUUUUAAAUUUGCAAAAGACUUAUUAUAAUCUUAUAUUUUCACAUUUCAAUAAAAAUUAUAUCUCUCCCAAAAUGAAAUAAGUUUGUAAGAGUUAAAUCAUUAUCUUACAACAACAAACAUUCACAGGUGCAAAAAAGAAAAAGGAGUUGAGUACAACACUAGAUUCGAAUGUUAAGAAUGAUGCAAUAAUUGCCUUCAAUGAAUGUAGUUUGUGGACCACGAUCGUGCAUUAUCCAUCGCACACUUUAAGUGAUAGUACGAAUAGAUAUUUCUACUUUUUUUAAAAAAAAUACGAACCAUUGCAUUUUAUUUGACAUGGGAAUAAAUAAAGAAAAAACAUCCUUUAGCCCAACGAGGUGGCCAGGCAUGUCUAUAAAUUAUUGUUAAGUGAAACGUAAUGUCUCAUUGAAACUCCAUUAUAACUUGAAUACAAAAACGACAUGACUUCACUAUUGCCUCAAACAAGACAACAUAAUGACAAUUACGUUUUUGGCUUAAGGUUAUGUAUAAUGCAAUGAAAAAUAUAUAAUGUAAAGAAAAAUUAGUUUUCAAAUAUAUAAUGCAAUCAAAAAUAUAAUGAAAUGUAAUAAAUUAAAAUUUCAUUACUAUAUUUAGUAAUGUAAUUGAAAAAAUUUAUUUAAUAUAAUCAUCAUUCUAUUUUUACAUUUAUUUAUAAAUAUGUAAUAUAAUUAACACACUACCACUAUUAAAACCAUCACCACAACUACUGUUUUACCACCAUCACCACCACCAUAACAUUCACUCCACCAUCACCACCACCUCAGCACCACUCCACCACUAACCAUGCAUCAUUAUUAAUACAUAAGAAAUAUUUAAACAAAAGCUAUUCACUAUAUUAAUUAAUUAAAGAGCAUUUAAAUUUAUAAAUUUAUUUAAAUAAAAAAAUUAAUAGAGAAUAAGUCUGAGAAAAUAUAAUAUAACAAAAUAAAAGUUUACAUAUUUGGAAAUUAUAUAUUUUCUAAGCUAAAUUCAGCUUUUCGGAGUUUAUCCAUCAAAUAUCUCCUCGCAUGAUAUACGUGGGGUCUCUUAUGACAAUUUAUAUGUAGUUUGUGGACAGAGUGCCCCUCUACCAUUUUGUACUUGAAAAAAAAAAAAAAAAAAAAAAAAAGACUAGUCAGCUUCUGGUACUUGACAUGCAACUUUAAAAAUUCAAUAUCGGUUAAAUAGCUUUGACGUUUUCUCAAUUUUUAAAUAACUUAAUUUUUAUUAAAUUAAAAUUAAAAUUAUUGUUUUAUUUUUUAUUGAAAAAAUUAAUCUUUUCAUUAUAUGAUGCCGAAUUAAGGUGAUAAGCGAUGGCUGUGUCCGCAAUCAAGUCGGUGCUUGGAUUGUUGGGUGUUAUGUCCAUGCAACAGAGUCAAACUGGGUUCAAUAUGAGCUCAUUUUACCCACCUAUUGCAAACUUUGUUCGUGUACCUUGGCGUUGAGUCUGAAAUUCUGUUUAAUAUUCGUCCGUGCAGCUUAUGAAGACUGAAAGUCUGUGUUUGUGUUAUCCUUUUAAGUAACGUUAAUAAGCAUGGCUUUGACUGAUCCACCAUCUCCACUGGAGUGUGUGCGUGAAUCUCAAUGCUAUGAGCAAAUAAACUGUCUUUAUGUACUUCUAUUUCAUGUGCUUUUAAUAAAUCAGUAUUUUCUGUGCUGCAAUAAAGAUUUUUGUUUAAAAAUAUUUGAAGAGAUAAUUUAUUUUCUCAUCAAAAUAUUCAAAAUAUUUGGUAUAAUUAACAAGUGUAACCUUUUCUAGAGAUAGAGCUUAAAAUUUUUAUCCUUUCAAUAUUUACAUUUUUCAGAAAUUGAAUUUUUAUUUUAAUCGUUACAGUAAUCCAAGCCACUUGAUUGUUACCGUACCAACACUUUGUAAUAAAUUGCUCAACAAACACUAUUUAAGUGUGAAAAUUAAAUAUUUGUACAUCUAAUACAAGAGAUUAUUUUUUUUCCUUUUUUUUUUUAAAUCAAAGAGGAGGGAUUAAAACCCAAGAACUACUGCAUGAUCUGACGAAGGCCAACAAAUAGCCCCUACCCUAAUACAAGACAUGAAUAAAGAAGACAAGGCAACAUUACGUUGAAUGGUGACAAUCCAAGAUUUUCUUUAAACACUAUCAAAGUCUAACAGUGUGUAAUAUUUUAUUAUAAAUGACCGAUCUGACGGUGACUGGAAUAGUGACACCAUCAAAGGUUAUUAACAUAUAUAUGAUUUAGAGGUGUAAUAUAUUUAAGGUAGAUGAUGUUCAAAAUACACGAGCCUUCUAAUUUAGCUAUAAGUUAAUAAAUAAAUGAUAUUAAUAAUUUAAUUUUAAAAUUCAUAUACUAUAAAUUGUUUUUUUGUAGUUUAAUAAAAAAAUAAAUUUAUUGUUGUCCUAGGACAAAUAAUUUUAAUUUUAUAUUAUUACUAAAAGUUAAGAGUUUAAACUGUAAUAAUUUCUUUUACUGCGAAAGAUUUCUGAUAUAGCAUAUAGUAACAACGAAUAAUUGAUAUAGCUGACAAUUAAUUUUGAACUAAUGUUCAGUUGUGGCUGUUAUUUUUCUAAGUCAGAAUCGUAAUUAAAAAAGAAAUUAUAUCAAUAAAUUAUAUAAUAAAAAAAAUUACUAGUUCCACAGACAAAUAAUUUAAAUCAUAUUAUUACAGAAAGUUUAAAGUUUAAAUUAUGAAAAAUAUUUUUUUUUCUGCGAUGAAUUUUUUAUGUUAAAAGAAGUCUUUAUUUCUAAAAAUUUAGUAAAUUCUUUCCCUUGAAAAAAAAAAAAGUUCAUACUUCAAAACUUUUUUCCAGAACAGUUAAUAAUUUGUUUGUAAGGGUCUUUUCAUUUUCUGUUGAUUGUGUUGCAAAAUCUCAUGUCCUAAUGGCUUCUGUUUUGUCUCUCAACUUGUGUAUUUCUGAUAUGGGAUAAACAAGUAAUUUCCGACACACAAUGCACAAUAAUGUCGGACAUAUGAUUAUUAGCUGACGUGGAAAGCAGGGCACUGCCAUGGCCUUAUCUCUUCAAUAAUUUUUUUUUUUUUUUUUGUGAAAGUAUCUCUUCGAUAAUGUUAACUUCCCUUAUCUUGCUCUUUUUUUUUUUAUUUUUUUUUCCGAAUGACCCUUAUCUUAUUAAUUUGAUUUAUAAUAAUUUAUAAUAGCAAUUUCUUUUAUUCACAGUUAGUAUAUAUAUAUAUAUAUAUANNNNNNNNNNAUAUAUAUAUAUAUAUAUAUAUAUAUAUAUUUUUUUUUGUAGUUAUUAUUAAACCCUAAACCUUUACUUCUAGUUUGAUUCACGAGUUAUGUCGGUCGACACUGUGUCUGGCCAAUUUUAUAGCAUUCGUUCUAUAUUUUAUCAGGCUUGUGGCCUUGCCCACAACUUAAUUUAUAUACAAAAGUACUCGUAUUCUUAUGAGAUGCAUCAACUUUUUAAUUAUUAUUUAUUGGGCAUCAGAUACCAGUUGCCUCAGCUCUGAUACCACUUGUUGGGCCCUUUUAACCAAUUAAAAGAAAAUUAACGCGGUAAAAAAGUAAACUUGUGACACGCAGAAAUUUAUAUGAUUCACCCUCAACUGUUUAGGGCUACGUCACGGGAUAAACUCUGAAUAAUUCUUCUACUAUUAAAAAUAGUAGGUAUACGGAGACUAAUACAAAAAUAGUGGCACUCAAAGUGUUUCCCAAAAACAUCUCAUAAUAAUUUUCUCACUAUUUUCCCCCCUAGUUUUAGGAAACCCUUUCCUAAAACUAGAUAACUCUCUCUAUAUUUUUUCUUCUUCUUCUGUUGUGUUUUGAUGAGGGAAAACCUUCUCCUAUUGAACGCGUUAAUUACGCAUCCACCGAUUGGAUGCGCUAUUAAUGCGUCCAAAAUUUCAACAUUUUCUUUUUUUUUUUUCUUCUUCCACAGCCUUCUUUGAAUGAAAGAAAGUGUUUUUUUUCUUUUCAAAAUGUGUGUGGGUCCCACAUAUCGGAGGGACCCUUCAACAUUAUUUAAGAUGAAUUAUGUCCACUAAAAUAUUAUCUAAUUGUAAUCCGAUAUUUAAAAUCUAUUAGAACGAUCAUGGUUCUCUCUCUCUCUAAAGAGCGAGAGGUAUUAUCUAACAAUAAUUAAGAGAAAUUUUUUUCAACAUAUAAAUCUAAUUUUUAAUUUCAUGUUUAUUGUUUUGCAUUUCAAAUUUUUCUCUCCUUUCAUUUACAGAUGAAUAUAAAGAAAUUAUUUUAAAUUAUCUAUAUUAUUAAUUAUAGAGUUAUCAAAUCCUUAAAAUUAUAUAUUUUUUUUCGUGGUCAAUAUUUAUUUAAAUUAUCAUGCGAAUUUGAUCAAUCCUGUUUUUUGUCAGUAAGGUAGAGAGCUGAACCAAUAAUUAAUUAAUUGUUACUCUCUCCGUUAUUUUUAUUUAGAGAAAAUUUCUUUUUUCGGUGUAUUUUUUAUAUAGAGAACGUUACUCUAAAUAGUAACUUUGGGAUAUAAGCUAAGUUAAAAAGAUUAGAAAGCCCUUGGAGUAUAUGUGUUUUAAGAUUGAAACUCAACUAUCAAGGAAAGUGGCAAACAUAAAUAUUAUCAACAUUUAAUGCAUGCAUAUUUUAAGGGACAGGUUAUCAACUUAUUUUUUCAUUUUGUUUUAUAGUAACAGUUGUUGUUUUUAUAAAUUUGAUCACAUAAAUAACAGAGUUAAUCCUUAUUUAUAUGUCUUGGAGUGGGAUCCAAAGAUGAAAAUCGUACACUAAAGGAGCCGGCUACUCUUCCAAGAAGAGCAAGAAGAAUGUCUUCAGUUGCAGAUAAUAAGGUUGCGAUUCUGAAAAAAUUGUAUCCAAUUAAUACUCUUUUGGGCACAUUGGCGGAAAAGAUAGAUAAAAACAUUGAGCAAACAUAGAAAAAUAGUGCACAAAUUGAAGAGCUGUAGUCCUUUGUUACUGAUUUGAGGCAAUUUCACCAAGAAACGGGUAAGUAUUCUGAGAUUUCUAAAACACCUACUGGACAAAAAAAUUGCCAAAAAAGUAAAGAUGCACUGAAGGUAGUGAUCAUCAAGAACUAGUAAACUCAGAUUUGACCCAACCUCCUACACAAGAGCCAUGAACAAAAGGGAAGUUCAUUGACUCUCAAGAUCCUUUCGCAAGUGAUGAGAUAGAUGACCCAGUAUGAAAAAUUACAGAGGACACACUUGAUGCUAUUAAUGCUGAUCUAGGUAAGAAUGAUGAUAAUAAAUAGGUUAAUGUGGACUUUUAAUUGUAUUAAUUUUUGCACUUUCUGAUUAUCUUUUGCUUUUUUUAUAAGCCACUUUGUGACCUUUUGUUUUUAGUACUUGUGUUGCACUCUUCAAUAGUUUUUUGUUUCCCUAUGUUAGUUAACGGUUGUGAAUUUCUGUAAGCCACUUUGUGGCAUUUUAAUUAUUAGUUGUGCAUUUCUGUAAGUUAUUUUGUGGCCAUAUUUAUAAACUUCUACACUUUUUCAAUAGUUUUUUUUUCUCCGUGUUAGUUAACGGUUCUAAAAUUUUGUGGCCAUGUCUUUAAUAAUGUCUUUGAAAAAAAGUAUAAACAUGAUUAAUAUAUUUAAUGAUGCCUUAUUUCAUUCUUACUCAUCCAUGAUUGAGGCAUUAACCAUAAAAAUAACACUUACGAUAUUGCAAAUGGUUUUUAUUUUGAAUGAUGAUUUUGAGUUUAUAAAUAUAUAUUAAUUUAAUUUUAAAAAAAUAUGUAUUAAUUUGAAUAUUUAAAAAUUGACAUUUAUUACUGAGUUAUGGCAUAUGAAAUUCAUGAUUCAACGUAUUAAAGUCAUAUUACAUGUUUUAUAAUAUAUAUGUAUAACCAAAUGCAUAAAUAUAUUCAUGUACCUUACGGAAAAAAUAUUGUGGCACCCUGAACUUUGUGAGUGACCUAUUAUGCCCUUGAAGUUACGAAUUUUUGCUAACAAAUGUACAUCUAUCUAUACUAAUAAUAACAUUUUUUUUAGUGUUUUUAGUAUUUAUGUGCAAGAUAUUCACUUAAUAUGUGGUUAGUAUAAUUUUUGGGACAAUAAUUUUCAUAUUUUUCAAUUAUCUAAUAAGUGUUUAAUUGAUCUAAUUUUAAAAGUUUGAGUAUUUAAUAGAAUAAUUUUUACAAGUUGAAGUAUUUAAUAGAUACAAUUUUAUUUUAUAUUGAAGUAUUUAAUAAGCUAAAGUAAAAAUUGAGGGUGCCACAAAAUUUUUUAGGUAAAGUACAGGUAUGAAUUUAUGCAUUGGGCUAUAUAUGUAUAAAUAUGCCUUUAUUCCAAAAAAUCCUUAUGGCACCAUGAAUUUUGCGAAUGACUUAUUAUGCUCCUGAAGUUAUAAAUUUUACUAAUAUUGUAUCCUUUCUAUAUUAAUAAUAACAUUUUUUUUUUGGUGUUUUUGGCAUUUAUGUGCUAGAUAUUCACUUAAUAUGUGGUCAAUAUAAUCUUUGCAACAAUAAUUUUCAUAUUUUUUAACUACUAUCUAUAUUCUACAAUACUUAUUACAUUUGGAAUUUCAUAUAUCUUAAGAAAACCAUUAAAUUUGUCUAAGUUACAAUAAAUUGUUGGGUAAAUUGACUAUAUUGCCCUUAAUUUAAUUCUAAUUCUCUAAGAAAACCAUUAAAUUGAAAUAAUAAUUAUUGGUCAUAUACAAAGGGUAAAUAUGGAAAAAAUGAAUUUAUUACUCCUUGAAACCACAAAUGUGACAAAUAUUUUGGAAUACACUAUUUUCUCAAAUUUGACAAGUAUUAUGAAAUGGAAGUAGUAUCUAAUAAGUGUUUAAUUAAUUUAAUUUUAGAAGUUUGAGUAUUCAAUAGAAUAACUUUUGCAAGUUGAAGUAUUUAAUUUAUAAAAUUUUAUAUAUUGAAGUGUUCAAUAGAUUAAAGUAAAAGUUAGGGUGACAUAAGAUUUUUUACAUAAAGUACAUGGAUGAAUUUAUGGAUUAGACCUCCAGAUAGAUAACAGGAAGUGUUAUGAAUUAUAUUAAUUCAUCAAUAAUAAUCCCUUCUAAUAACAAAAUAAAAUUAAUUAUUUCAAAGGAAAUGUUAGCAACUAUUUACCUUCAUUUUAAAGAAAAUUAUUAAUUUAAUUUCACGGAAACCUCCUCUCAAGGGGUUACAUUAAAUUGAAUACUGAUGGCUCUGCGAAAGGAAAUUCAGCGUUUGGGAGUUUGGAUUAAUAAUUGAAUGUGAUAAUCUAAUGGUGAAUUUGCUUCCACAUGUUCAUCCAUCAAAUAUCUCCUUGCAUGAUAUAAGUAGGUCUCUUAUCAACAAUUUGUAUGUCAGUUUGUGGACAGAGUUCCCCUCUACCAUUCAAUAUCUCUCAAAUAGCUUUGACGUUUUCUCAAUUUCUAAAUGAAGUAAUUUUCAUUAAUUAAAAAAAUUAAAAUUAUUGUUUUAUUUUUAUUGAAAAAAAUAUUCUUUUCAUUAUAUGGUGCAGAAUUAAGGUGAAAUUGUAGCUACUCCUAAAGUUCACUAUGAAAUAAUAUUAUAUUGAAACUAUAUUUGUAAUCUCAAAACUAUAAAGUGUAUUAUUCUAUUUAUAAAAAUUAGGGUCUUUAUUUUCAAAAUGUAACCUAUUAUUUAAUUCUGUACAAAUGUUAAUUUUAUCCAUCUUAUAAUUAUGGGUUGGCAGAAGGUAUCCAAAACUUCUUUUUUUUAGCUAUAAAAUUUUAUUAUUCAACCUUUAAAAGAGAAAAUUAUGAUUUUAUCUCUGUAUUUUGCUUAAAAUAAUUGACUUACUUUUGUAUUUUUAAAAAUAUACUAUUCUUUCCCUGUAUUUGGCCUCUGUCAUCCAUUUUUCAACAAUUUUGCCGUUAUGUAAACCUAAACAUGAGAGUCAAAGAUAAGACGUAAAAUUUUUAUGCCAGAGUUACCUUAUAACAUGAUAAUUUUCCCUUUUCUUAUUAUUCUCUUUUUCAACACAGGCUUCCUGCAUUUUUUGCAGCGCCUUUUGUCUUUUCUUUUUCUUUCUUUCCCAACAAAAUCUUUGCCUUUUUUUGUGGUUUGCCUUCUUUGUAUCAAUCGAAACUCAUUCUUAUCAUCAUAACAUCUUAUUGGGCUUUUUGGAUUUGACAAGAAUCUGAGAUUUCCUUAUCUUCUUCCCUUUUUGGCUUAUCUUCCUCUCUUUCAUAAUAGCCUUAGCCAUUUGGUAUUUUUCUUUUCACUUGAUUGUAUCUUACUUUGGCUUAUUCACAAGAACUCGAAUUGAAUUGCAUCAAUUUUUUAAACUCUUCUUCUUGGGUAAGGUUUUGAAUUGAAGAAAUUGGAAAAGAAAUUGAAAAAAUUGGAGAAUUACUCCACAAGGCCAUGAAUCCACUUUUUGACCCUCGUAAGCCCGCCGUGCCAUCACCUCCUGCGCCGUGAAAAUUGGUGUUCCACAAGCUGUCUGGAGAAUACAGCCGUCGUUUUGGGUCUCAGCAGCAAGCCGUUUGUUUUUAUAAGCGGCAGCUUGUUAUUUGUUGGGUUGUAACUUGAAAGGCUGUUUUGAGUUCAGGUGGCCAUUAUUUGGUGUAUAAUUCCCGAAAUUUUGCUUUUUUGUUUUUUCUGGGUUAAAGGACUGAGAUGGAAGAGGAAGAGGUUGAGAUGUAGAAAAUGAGGACAAUUUUGUCUUUUACAGUAUAUUUAACGGUAAAAGUAGUAAAAUUAGACGGAAGGGCACAAGUGAUCAAUGAAGUUAAAGGUUAAGGGCAAAAUAGUGUACUUCUAAAACUGCGAGGAUAUGCUAAGUUAAUUUUGACAAAAUAUAAGGAUAAAAUCAUAAUUUUUGCUCUUUAAAAUUUGUAGCGAAUUUCCUCAUGAACAUAAUCUGAGCUCUAAAUUUUGUAUUGGAAUUUAGUACAAAAACUUUAUAACUUAAAAGUCGGUAAAAUAUUUAACAUGAUAUAAUGCUCAUUUGUAAAUUUUUAUGAAAAUAAUUAUUUGCUUAAAAUAUUUAUAAGAAUCCUAUAUUUGUACUAAAAUCAUUUUUUAGUACUUCAUUUAUGAAAAUCAUGUACAUAUUUUAUAAAUUUAUAUUAAUUUUUUUUGCAACAUAUACAUUUUGCACCUUAGGAACAAAAAAAAAAAAAAGAAAAAUU
rnacentral:lncRNA from 1 species